GUGCUUGCUUCGGCAGCACAUACACUAAAAUUGAAACAAUACAGAGAAGAUUAGCAUGGCCCCAGCACAAGGAUAACACACAAAUCUGUGAAGCGUUCCACAAUUUU
rnacentral:snRNA from 1 species